GAGUCCCCGCCGCACGCCACCGCAUCGUGUGCCCCUGCAGGCGCCGUGGUGGUUCCCCUUCCCUAACCCGUCGAAGUUCACCGGAGAAGCCCGGCCCCUUCUCUCAAACUCGCUCACCGGAGACAGAGAAGAUGAAUAAGCGCGUGGAGAGGAGAGGAGGAAGAGGGUGAGUCGCAUGCUGCCUGCUCCGAUUCCCCUCCGUGUGCGCGAGUUCUGGCAUCACGGCAUGAACUACCUCUUCGGCCCCAGGGAUCUCAUGCCUGUUGUGAAUGUGGUUGUCUGCAUCGGACAGCACGAGAGAGAUGCUGCAGUCCACCGCUGCCACCGACGGAGCCGGCCGUGGCCAGAGCCGAUGUUGUCCCCAGUCGCUGCCGAAGCUGAGGUCAUCCCCUUCCGCCGCCGCACUCCACCACUGACCCCGCUGGAGCCGAGGUCUGCCAGAGCCGUGCUCUUCCCCAUCCGCCGCCGGAGCCGAUAGCGUAAUGUUAAUCAUAUUUUCAUAUUGUGUGAAAUAUUUUGUUGUAUAAAUUAAUGUAUGGAGUCAUGAGCAAUAUGCUCUAGAAAUACAUGGUUAUGAUGCUACCUUCAACUUGCUGCUGCUGGCCUGAUCUUCCCUUGGUGAUGAACAACAGGAUACAUGGGAGAAUGGCUCUGCCAGCCAACAUUGUUGACAAGGACAGGUAAAUCAGAUUCACUAUGUUGCAACUUCAAUCCAAAAAUAUUAUAUUGCACACACAAUUCACAUAUGGUAAAUCAAAUUCCCUUGCCGCCGCCGAACUCCACCGCUGCCACAGGUUUUGCCUCGGAGGUGUUCGACUGAAUGCCACUCAACCAAUAUGGUUUCUAUUUAUUCCUAACCAUUGCCUCAUAUAUUUUAUUGUUCAUAGGUCUAUCUAUCUCCUUACAGUGGAGGGAUACAUCGUUGGGCUAGGACUAACAGCUUGCAGCUUGUUCACCAUUCAGCUUUAAGAAAAUAUUGUACAUGGUUUAUCCAGUUGACGAUGAUACAUGUUGGUUGGUUUUCAUACUACUUUAGUUGUUGCUCUAUUAACCUCCAGGGAAGAUCAAGGAGGUUGUUCCUACGAAUACAAAUCAUGCUCAGACGCUAUUAAAUCAGCCACUGAUUCACAUAUUCACAAAGCUUAUUUUACAUGGGUACAUACUCUCUAGCAUUAUUCAGCAAACUAUCUUUUGGUUGAACAGAGACUAUUGAUGAGGCUCUUCAAGACCUGGAUGAUUGCCUAACAAUUGUGAUUUUGUUUACAACUACUAGGAGAUGAUGGUGUGUGAAUUGAGAAUCCUUAAUUGUCAUCGGUUCAGCGCUAUAAACUCCCCUAUAAAACUUACCAUGAGGCAUAUUUUCAAGAAUUAAUCAUGAGUUUAACUCUCAAUUGUUCGCAAUGCUAGCACAGGUGCAGUAAUGACAUAUGACAAUGAAGAUUUGAUUCGGCAAUGGAGGCAAAUGCAGUCCUUUUCCCUUCCCGUACCUAAUUCAUAUGCUUUCUAUUUAAUCCUUGCAAUUGCCUCAGAAGUUGAAUGAAUCUAAUCUUGUUUUCUUCCUAGGCUCCUCGGUUAUCUUAUUGGUUUGUUGUUUGCUUGUUAGGACUGAGUUGACGACAAAUCGAACUGAAGAAGAAUUUGUGGGCGAAAAGUGCUACUGGUACUGUUAUUAAGUGUUUUCAGUCGUUUUUCACCGAUCGAUACCUAUUCAGUCAUUGAUUUCAAUCUUGAUGGUUUUCCACAUGUACUUUUAGCAUAUUGUUUCUUGCAUGUGACCUUCUUUAUGAUUGUAUUGCACAACUACAUUCUUCUUGUGAGCAUUCAUUUAUCCAAUUCUCAAGAAGUCAACCAGGCUCCUGUUUUUUAAUUUAUUUCUACAUAUCUGUGUAUUUAUGAAUAAUUGUUCCAAUUCUUAUUUGGUUACCACUGCUUCAAUCUUUUUCAAUUUUAAAAAUGAUUUGACUAAGGUAAGGGCACUGAGAUUUUGGAAAACAAUAUCAUCGAGAAUGACAUGAAAUCUGGUUUGUUCUUACACAUGGUUUGGGCAUGAUUAUCAAUUUUCGGCUGUACUGAUAUUUGGUUUUGAAUUUAAUUUGUGUCACUACAAUCGGUAUUUGUUAAAUGCAGCUAUGGUAAUGUACAGUUCUAAUUUGAAGUUGGAAGAUUAUAUCACUCCCAUUUAUUGAAUGUUUUUCAAAUGAAUACUCUAUUGUGCUAUUUUAAUUAAGUAUAUGCAUGUCAAGGGGUAAUGCACGUGCAAUGUGUCACUGUAUCAACUGAAUAAACAUGAACGUGUAAGGACAUUAGAGCUGUAUAACCAAAUUGUUUUCUAUAUCCAAUGUGGUGAAAGUUAAUUAUAUAAAGCAAGGAUUACAUGAUGUCAA